rnacentral:rRNA from 1 species
AAUGGGGGAAACCCUGACCCAGCAACGCCGCGUGAGGGAAGAAGGUUUUCGGAUUGUAAACCUCUGUUCUUGGUGAAGAGAAGAAGACGGUAGCCAAGGAGGAAGCCCCGGCUAACUACGUGCCAGCAGCCGCGGUAAUACGUAGGGGGCGAGCGUUGUCCGGAAUGAUUGGGCGUAAAGGGCGCGUAGGCGGCCAUGCAAGUCAGUAGUGGAAGUCCAUUUUUCAAGGGUGGAAGUGCUAUUGAAACUGCGAGGCUUGAGUAUGGGAGAGGUCAUCGGAAUUCCCGGUGUAGCGGUGAAAUGCGUAGAGAUCGGGAGGAACACCAGUGGCGAAGGCGGGUGACUGGACCAUAACUGACGCUGAGGCGCGAAAGUGUGGGGAGCAAA